CGGGGUAGGGGUGAAAUCCUCUUAUCCCGGGAGGACCACCUGUGGUGAAGGUGGCUAACCCGAACGGACAUGAGCGGUGAGUAAGGAAAUCCCGGGGCGCGAACCGGAUUAGAUACCCGGGUACUCCUGGCGGUAAACGAUGUGGACUUGGUGUUGGGAUGGCUGCGAGCUGCCCCAGUGCCGAAGGGAAGCUGUUAAGUCCACCGCAUGGGAAGUACGGUCGCAAGAUUGAAACUUAAAGGAAUUGGCG
rnacentral:rRNA from 1 species